CGUACAGGUCUCCGUAGGUGAACCUGCGGAGGGAUCAUUACAAGAACGCCCGGGCUUCGGCCUGGUUAUUCAUAACCCUUUGUUGUCCGACUCUGUUGCCUCCGGGGCGACCCUGCCUUCGGGCGGGGGCUCCGGGUGGACACUUCAAACUCUUGCGUAACUUUGCAGUCUGAGUAAACUUAAUUAAUAAAUUAAAACUUUUAACAACGGAUCUCUUGGUUCUGGCAUCGAUGAAGAACGCAGCGAAAUGCGAUAAGUAAUGUGAAUUGCAGAAUUCAGUGAAUCAUCGAAUCUUUGAACGCACAUUGCGCCCCCUGGUAUUCCGGGGGGCAUACCUGUUCGAGCGUCAUUUCACCACUCAAGCCUCGCUUGGUAUUGGGCAACGCGGUCCGCCGCGUGCCUCAAAUCGUCCGGCUGGGUCUUCUGUCCCCUAAGCGUUGUGGAAACUAUUCGCUAAAGGGUGUUCGGGAGGCUACGCCGUAAAACAACCCCAUUUCUAAGGUUGACCUCGGAUCAGGUAGGGAUACCCGCUGGACUUAAGCAUAUCA
rnacentral:rRNA from 1 species